UGUGACCAGGGUGUGUUAUUACUUUUAUGGCCCAGAACACUGAAGCUCAUCACUGAGAGGCUCGGGAACCAGAGGCAGGAACCGCAGCUCAAGCAGUGGGGAGAGAAGACGCCCAGAACACUGAAGCCACUUCACUGAGAGGCUCGGGAACCAAAGGCAGGAACCGCAGCUCAGUCAGCGGGGAGACAAGACGCCCAGAACACUGAAGCACAUCACUGAGAGGCUCGGGAACCAGAGGCAGGAACCGCAGCUCAGUCAGCUGGGGAGACAAGACGGUGAGUCUCUCAUUUGCUCUGAUUGUGACUGAAAUAAGGCAGUAAAGUUACUUCAGGUUUUUAGCACUUGGAAUGAUAGGAGAAGGAGAGAUAAAGUGCGCGAGAAAUGAUUGGGA